UUAGGACACAUUUCCUAGCAAAUUGUGUACUCUCUCUCCAAGGACAUAUUGGGUAUGGCUUAAAGGCUUGGAGUCUUUCCAAGCUAUUCUUCCCAAUCUAAGCAUGCCUUUACUCAUCACUGGCCAAUUUAUUGGAAUUUUUAAAUAUUUUCUCUCUCCUUGAGGUUCCAUGGCAAGAGAGAGAAACAGAGAAAGAAACACAAAGAUGGAUUCUCAUACAGAAACAGAUGAACAGAAACAGAAACAGCAACACUAGAGAACAGCAAAAUAGUAACAUUUCAAGAAAAUAGAUACACCUUCACAGUAUGUGAUGGUAUCCACUUACUAUCUACUGCCUCCAUAACUCCUAAAGUCUUCUAAAGAUUCAUUAAUGUUUUGAAUAUAUGAGCCAACAUUUCCUUUCACAGCCUUUUCACAACUGGGAAUUCUUUAGAGAAAUGCAAUCUUACUUCAUUUACUUACUUCAUCAGUAAUGCCAUGACUAUGCCUACCUAAGAAGAAAAUAUAUCAUGUGCCAGAGGACUAGAAAGAAAAAGCAACAACAACAAAAGGCUGUGAAGAUUUGAUCAUAUGCCUAUGUGU